rnacentral:rRNA from 1 species
GAUGACAAUAGCAAGUAGGUACCACCUGAUCCCAUUCCGAACUCAGAAGUGAAACUGCUUAGCGCCGAUGGUAGUGUGGGGGUUCCCAUGUGAGAGUAGGACAUUG